AGAAAAGUUAAGUUUAUAUACGGAGUAGCUCACUAUAACCUCUCGCCUCAUUUCCUCUGUUCUCACGCUGAACCAGCGCCACCACCGCGGCUCUGCCGCCGUCCAAAAUAAUACCACCACCCUAAAAAUCUUCCGUUUUCCUCCACCCAAAUAUAUUCAUCCAUUACUCUCAAACAUCAAGCUCUAAUUGUAGAACUCCAUUGCCGAAACCGAACAUCAAAACACGCACACACUCUCCUAAGCUCUCUCUCUUCAGACACGGACCACCUCCACUGCCGCCCAGACCACCGGUCCUGCCGCUCAGUCGUGCCGGCAAGACCUUUCUGUCCCCACCUGAACUCCUCCUUGCUCUAUCCUGUGGCGGUCGUUAACUCACGCAACCCAACCCCUUCUUCCGUCGUGCUUCCUUGUUUCGUGAAACCAAAAAAAAAAACUCUGUUUUGGUUUCCUUUUCUAAGUGUACAAUACACUUAUGCAUUACUAAAGUCAACCUUUCUUUUUUAGACACUAAGCCAAUUUUAGUAGGUUACUUUCCUUUUGAUUUAUACGUAUACUACUUUCAACUAAUUGGGAAAAAUAAAUAAAUAAAAGAAUGGUGUCAACCAUAUGUCAAACAAAUAACUCUAAUUAAUUAUUGUACUUAUUGGAUAAGUACUAAUUUGAAAAUUAAUUUCAUAACAAAACCAAAAGCAUUUAAAAAAAAAAAAGAGUACCGUAUUUACAUAUUAUAUUAUUUUUGUAUAGUUACUAAUCGGGUAAUUUAUAAAUUACAAGAAUAUCCGGUUCUUGAAGCUCAGAAAGAACGGUCCAUCAAACAGGAAGUAUAAACUACGGUUGAGGUACGAAGAAAAUCAUGGGAUUCCUUAGAGUGAGGAUGCAACCAUCAAAUUCGCGAUCGAUGUUUAGUAAAGAUAACUAUGUCUCACUAGUAAUAAUGGAUGUAUUAACUAACUCUAAGUUUAAUUUCAAGUAUUGAGUUAGAUUUUAAUAUUAAUGUUUAAUCAAUGCUAGAAGUAUUUAUUAAAGUUUAUUUAGUAAUUUAAAAAGGUUAUGUCGCCUUGUAUUUCCCACAAGGGAGAUACGGCAUGUGACGCUCUGACUAAAUUAGGGUUUCCGAUGCUAAUUAAAGAUAAUUAACCUAAUUAAUGGUGUUUAGAAGUCAGGGCGUUACAGAUUUGGAUUGGUUGACUCAAUUUUUUUCCUUCGUUUACUUGGGUAGAUUUCGCACUUUGGGAGGUACGGGCUAAGUAUUUCAUGGCUUGCUCUUUUCGCUCUCCCUUUUCUCUUUCUCUUUAAGUAUUUCAUGGCUCUCUCUUUUCGCUCUCCCUUUUCUUUUUCUCUUUAAGUAUUUCAUGGCUCACUCUUUUCGCUUUCCCUGUUCUCUUUAUCUUUUUUCUUUUUUGCUUGGGAUUCCUCCCCCUUUUUACUUGGGCUAAAAGGUAGAUGGUUGUGGUCUUUGAGUCACGAGGCGAGACUGAGUGAGCCUCGUUUGGUAGGCCCAUAGUGGACCUUUAGUUUUAGUAGGCCUAGGGUGGACCUUUAAAUUGUCUUACUUUGCAAGCGUAUUUAGUCGUUUCUUAAAAUGUGAAAAUAGCGUAGAUUCAAAAUGUUGUUUUUACUUUAUUGAAAUUUAACGAAAGAAUUGCAUCGAAAAUAAUUUUUUUUGCUUCUUUUCAGAUUCCAGUUUCCGGGAUUUAAUUGGAAGUUGUGAUUUAGACUCGAACUUUAAUUAAUUUUUCUGAUUAUAACCCGUGUAUGAAUACAAGGAGGUGGCCUAGACUCAAAAUAAUGACGUGGCGUAAGCCUAUAAUACUUGACCAAGCGACUUUCAGAUUUAGGCUAAUUGGACCAUAACUUUCGUUUGGUUGACACUUGAAAUUUUAACCCUUGGGUGUUCAUUUGUCAUGCCCCAUUUUGCUUAAUGUUGGCAAGGUAGUUAGUUGGGGAGAUCGAAUUUUCAUUUUUGCAAGACUAGGAUCAUUAGUGCGGCUUCCCUCUUAGUGUGUAUUGCUUUACCCCAAUGGUAGCCUUAUGGCAUGCCGAUUUGGGUAUUUCCAUGGUUAGUCAUGUUGCAUUCAUGGAAAAUAUUUUAGUCCGUACUUAGGAUUAUUUCAAGGAGCGAGUGGCUCAAGAGGACUAUGAUAGUCGUGACCCAAUGUGAUCGUAAGCCUUGAGGCCAUUAAUUUUUUUCUGCCAAUGGUAUUGACACCUUAGGCUCACUUUGGGGGUUGUGCGACUAUGGAGGAAUGAUUUUCAGAAUGUGACUGUUUCCAUUUUGCAAAUACUUGAAUUACAUAAUAUAUUCUUUUUAUUGCCGAGAGAGAGUAUUGAGGCCGUAGAUUCUUAGCAAGGGAAGACAAUUACAUAUGGGUGCUUAUUGAUUUCUUUUAAAUGUUAGGAAGGGAGACUCAAUAUGGUUUAACCUUUUAACUUGUAGAACGACACCAAGCAUUAGGACCGAUUCUAUGUAUUAGACAACUAAGACUUAGGAUUUAGAUUGUACUUUGGCAUAGCCUAGUCUAGACUCGGAUUUAUUUAUUUUUUUAUUCGAACAUUAUUUUUCCUUGAAAACUCUAUUUGAACAUUAUUUUUUGAAUACUUUGCCCAUGUGACAUUCAAGGUUAUUUUAAUUAGCAUGCUCGGUUUUGGUGCCGAACAUUGUCGUCAUAGGAGGCCUAAUGACGACACGAGGAGUUGUUUAUUUUAUAAGUCGUUCUUAGAAUCGAGUGCCUUUUUUCAUACGUCCUCGUAGCAGAUUUGUUACGAAUUUUUUAUUGCUACGUAUACUUUAUGCGCGGGCACCGAGGCUGCUGUGCCUGGCCAAAAGGCCAAGCAGCAACUUCAGCGCCCAGCAGGGGCGUUGAAAUAAUUGGCGCCCAGCCAGGGGCGCUGAAAAUGCGUCCCUGACUGGUACUCGUAUUCUGUUCGUCUAUUUUUUUUGUACAUACAACUUAAUUUUGCGUGCUUGCCCAAUAACGUCCUUUGCGUGUUAUGCCACGUCGUGGGAUCCGUUACAGGCCGUCCUGGGCGUCACUUAUUUUUGUGGCGAUCGCCCGGGACUGCGGAGCACGUAUUUAGGUAUAACUCUUUGGCCAAUUGGUGUUUAUGAAUGUUUGGGCAACUUUUAGGGUCGUUGGUUUUCUAGCGUUAUUUGUCACACACAA